rnacentral:rRNA from 1 species
UCGAGAAUCAUUCGCAAUGGGCGCAAGCCUGACGAUGCGACGCCGCGUGCAGGAUGAAGGCCUUCGGGUUGUAAACUGCUGUGAUGGGGGAACAACGGGCGUGCCGUGAAUAGCGGCAUGCAUUGAUAGUACCCCAAGAGGAAGCCACGGCUAACUCUGUGCCAGCAGCCGCGGUAAUACAGAGGUGGCAAGCGUUGUUCGGAUUUACUGGGCGUAAAGGGUGCGUAGGCGGCCGCGCAUGUCGGGUGUG